AGGAUCCUAUCGAGGGUGAGGACAUUAAAGCCCCUGUGGGAGCAGAGGAGGCGCGUGAAGUUCAGACCUGAGGCUCCACCUGCAGAGGAGGACUCCCAGAGCUGUCCGUGGUGCUGAAACAUCAGCCGCUGCUGGAGAAUCGACGGUUUCCAAAUUAGUGACUUCUCAGAGAUGUUCUUACCCACUCAGGAUGAAAAACUCAUUUU